rnacentral:rRNA from 1 species
GAUGAACGCUGGCGGCGUGCCUAAUACAUGCAAGUCGAGCGAACAGAUGAGGAGCUUGCUCCUCUGACGUUAGCGGCGGACGGGUGAGUAACACGUGGAUAACCUACCUAUAAGACUGGGAUAACUUCGGGAAACCGGAGCUAAUACCGGAUAAUAUAUUGAACCGCAUGGUUCAAUAGUGAAAGACGGUUUUGCUGUCACUUAUAGAUGGAUCCGCUCCGCAUUAGCUAGUUGGUAAGGUAACGGCUUACCAAGGCAACGAUGCGUAGCCGACCUGAGAGGGUGAUCGGCCACACUGGAACUGAGACACGGUCCAGACUCCUACGGGAGGCAGCAGUAGGGAAUCUUCCGCAAUGGGCGAAAGCCUGACGGAGCAACGCCGCGUGAGUGAUGAAGGUCUUCGGAUCGUAAACCUCUGUUAUUAGGGAAGAACAAAUGUGUAAGUAACUAUGCACGUAUUGACGGUACCUAAUCAGAAAGCCACGGCUAACUACGUG